rnacentral:misc_RNA from 1 species
UACGGAGGGUGCAAGCGUUAAUCGGAAUUACUGGGCGUAAAGCGCGCGUAGGUGGCUUGGUAAGCCGGGUGUGAAAGCCCCGGGCUCAACCUGGGAACGGCAUCCGAUACUGUCAAGCUAGAGUCCAGGAGAGGAAGGUAGAAUUCCCGGUGUAGCGGUGAAAUGCGUAGAGAUUGGGAGGAAUACCAGUGGCGAAGGCGGCCUUCUGGACUGACAUUGACACUGAGGUGCGAAAGCGUGGGUAGCAAACAGG